rnacentral:rRNA from 1 species
GAUGAACGCUGGCGGCGUGCCUAAUACAUGCAAGUCGAGCGAAGCGGGGACGGGUGAGUAACACGUGGCUAACCUCCUAUAAGACUGGGAUAACUUCGGGAAACCGGAGCUAAACCGGUUACUUAUAGAUGGAUCCGCGCUGCAUUAGCUAGUUGGUAAGGUAACGGGUUACCAAGGCAACGAUGACUAGCCGACCUGAGGGGGUGAUCGGCCACACGGGAACUGAGAAACGGUCCAGACUCCUACGGGAGGCAGCAGUGGGGAAUCUUCCGCAAUGGGCGAAAGCCUGACGGAGCAAUGCCGCGGGGGUGAUGAGGGUCUUAGGAUCGUAAAACUCGGUUAUUAGGGAAGCGGUACCUAAUCAGAAAGCCACGGCUAACUACGGGCCAGCAGCCGCGGUAAUUC